GAUGAACGCUGGCGGCGUGCCUAAUACAUGCAAGUCGAGCGAACAGACGAGGAGCUUGCUCUUCUGACGUUAGCGGCGGACGGGUGAGUAACACGUGGAUAACCUACCUAUAAGACUGGGAUAACUUCGGGAAACCGGAGUUAAUACCGGAUAAUAUAUUGAACCGCAUGGUUUUAUAGUGAAAGACGGUUUUGCUGUCACUUAUAGAUGGAUCCGCGCCGUAUUAGCUAGUUGGUAAGGUAACGGCUUACCAAGGCAACGAUGCGUAGCCGACCUGAGAGGGUGAUCGGCCACACUGGAACUGAGACACGGUCCAGACUCCUACGGAAGGCAGCAGUAGGGAAUCUUCCGCGAUGGGCGAAAGCCUGACGGAGCAACGCCGCGUGAGUGAUGAAGGUCUUCGGAUCGUAAAACUCUGUUAGUAGGGAAGAACGAAUGUGUAAGUAACUAUGCACGUCUUGACGGUACCGAAUCAGAAAGCCACGGCUAACUACGUG
rnacentral:rRNA from 1 species